rnacentral:rRNA from 1 species
AUUGAACGCUGGCGGCAUGCCUUACACAUGCAAGUCGAACGGUAACGGGCCUUCGGGUGCCGACGAGUGGCGAACGGGUGAGUAAUGCAUCGGAACGUACCUUUCAGUGGGGGAUAACGUAGCGAAAGUUACGCUAAUACCGCAUAUUCUGUGAGCAGGAAAGCAGGGGAUCGCAAGACCUUGCGCUGAUUGAGCGGCCGAUGUCAGAUUAGCUAGUUGGUGAGGUAAAGGCUCACCAAGGCGACGAUCUGUAGCGGGUCUGAGAGGAUGAUCCGCCACACUGGAACUGAGACACGGUCCAGACUCCUACGGGAGGCAGCAGUGGGGAAUUUUGGACAAUGGGGGCAACCCUGAUCCAGCCAUGCCGCGUGAGUGAAGAAGGCCUUCGGG